AUGUUCACCCACACAGACCUGGACCAGUACGCUUCAUCUGUACUGGAUUACAUCUCCAAAACCACAGACAGUGUCACCACCCAGAAACGGAUCACCAUGUACCCCAACCAGAAGCCUUGGAUGAACCGGGAUGUUCGUCGUCUCCUGAAGGCCCGCAACACUGCCUUUAGGUCAGGAGAUGCACACGCCUACAGUACAGCCAGGGCUAAUCUAAAGAAGGGCAUCAAAAAAGCCAAACACCAUUACAAAAAGAAGGUAGAAGAACACUUCUCCAACUCCAACCCCCGACGCAUGUGGCAAGGACUGCAGACCAUUACAGACUACAGGACCACCAAACCCUCCCCCACAUCCUCUGAUGUCUCCUUCCUCAACGAGCUCAACAACUUUUAUGCUCGUUUUGAGCGAGGGAACCCCACAACCAAAACAGACAUGACGCCAGACCACCAACCUCUGACUCUCUCCCCCACCGAUGUAGGAGCGGUGCUGAGCAGGAUCAAUGUCCACAAGGCUGCAGGUCCUGAUGGCAUCCCUGGGCGUGUUCUCAGAGCUUGUUCUGGGGAGCUUGCAGGAGUGCUCACAGACAUAUUCAAUCUGUCCUUGGCCCACGCUGUGGUACCGGCCUGCUUCAAAUCCACCUCCAUCGUCCCGAUACCCAAAAACUCCAACCUAUCUAGCCUCAAUGACUACCGCCCAGUAGCACUCACCCCCAUCAUCACUAAGUGCUUAGAGCAGCUGGUCCUAGCACACUUCAAAUUCUGUCUCGACCCCCACCAAUUCGCAUACCGCCAGAACAGGAGCACAGAGGAUGCAGUCUCCAUCGCACUGCACUCUGUCCUCUCACACCUGGACAACAACAACACCUACGCCAGAAUGCUGUUUAUAGACUUCAGUUCAGCAUUCAAUACAAUCCACCCCUCACAACUCAUCAGGAAACUGACAGACCUGGGCAUCAGUUCCCUCAUCUGCAAAUGGUUACUGGACUUCCUGACCAACCGCUGCUCAUCAACAAUCACAAUGAACACCGGUGUACCACAAGGCUGUGUGAUGAGCCCUUUCCUCUACUCCCUCUUCACCCAUGACUGCAGACCUGCUGAUGGUUCCAACACCAUCAUUAAGUUUGCAGAUGACACCACGGUGAUUGGCCUCAUCAGUGACAACGAUGAGACCGCCUACAGGGAGGAGGUGGAUCGUCUGGCUGAGUGGUGCGACACAAACAACCUGCUGCUUAACACCGAGAAGACUAAGGAGCUCAUUGUGGACUACAGGAAUGCUGACCCACAUCCACCCACCCAUCCACAUUAA
rnacentral:lncRNA from 1 species